GGCUUGAAAUGUGAAUUUUAUGGUUCGGAUAGCUUCGUUAGGUGAUUUGGGACUUAGGAGUGUGUCCGGAAUAUUUUUGUGAUGACCAGCAUAGAAUUUAGCUUGAAUUGGCGAAGUUAGUAUUUUGCCGAAUUCCGGUUGAUAGGUGAGAUUUUGAUCCAGGAGUCGGAAUGGAAUUCCGAGAAUUGUUGUAGCUUUGUUAUGUCAUUUGUGAUGUGUGUAAAAAAUUUCAGGUCAUUCGGACAUCGUUUGGUCGGGGUUUUGAUCGAAAGUAUAUUUUCGGAAGUUUUUGGAAACUUAGGCUUGAAUUCGAUGAUGAUUUGAUGUUUUGAUGUUAUUUUGGGUGUUUCGAAGGUUGGGACAAGUUUGAAUGAUAUUGUGUGACAUGUUGAUAUAAUUGGUUAAGGUCCCGAGGGCCUCGGGUGGAUUUCGGAAGGUUAACGGAAUGAAAUUCGGACCAAAAAGAAAAGAAAAAGCUGCAGAAAUUUCUGCUGCAAUUUUCUGAUUCGGGGAGCCUACUUUAGAAGCUCAUAUCUCGGGAUAUAUAAAGAGGUAUAUGGUGUACAACCUAUCAAAUUAAAGAUCUUCGAGUCUAGUUUCUAAAUCGUCAAUCCGUUUGUCAUUUGGAUACUUAUACAAGACGUUAUGGGUGUUUAAACAGAAGGUGUCCGACAAGGAAAAUUUUUAAUAUGAUAUACAACUUGUAUAGCACAAGUGCAAGGUACAACUCCACGAAGCACGGGCAGAUUCUUUUAUACACGGAUUUGGCUUAUUUCUUUCAUUUCUUUCAUUUGGCUUGGAUUAUUUUGGAGAGAAUUUCAAGGGGGAUUUCAUCAAGCAUCAAAGGUGAGUUGUUUCUACUUAUUUCCAAGUUAAAUACAUGGAUUAGAGCUGAAAACUCAAGUAAAUUAUGGACAAAAAUGGUGGUUUAGGGCUUGAAAGUUAAGAGAAUUAAAUGGUGAUUUGAGGGGUCAAAUGAACUCCGAUUUUUGUGAAUUUGGUAUGUAUAGACUCGUGGCGAGAUAAAGGUCGUAUUGAUGUAAAAAUUUCUGAAUUUUGAGACGUGGGCCCGGGGCUCGGGUUUUGCUAAUUUCGGGAUUUUCGACAUUUUUCGAGUCUUUUCGAUUGGGUUAUAUUACCUUAGCCUAUUGUAACGUAUU
rnacentral:lncRNA from 1 species